ACGCACGCUGGCGGCGUGCUUAACACCUGCCAGUCGCACGGAAAGGCCCUGCUUUUGUGGGGUGCUCGAGUGGCGAACGGGUGAGUAACACGUGAGUAACCUGCCCUUGACUUUGGGAUAACUUCAGGAAACUGGGGCUAAUACCGGAUAGGAGCUCCUGCUGCCUGGUGGGGGUUGGAAAGUUUCGGCGGUUGGGGAUGGACUCGCGGCUUAUCAGCUUGUUGGUGGGGUAGUGGCUUACCAAGGCUUUGACGGGUAGCCGGCCUGAGAGGGUGACCGGCCACGUUGGGACUGAGAUACGGCCCAGACUCCUAGGGGAGGCAGCAGUGGGGAAUAUUGCACAAUGGGCGGAAGCCUGAUGCAGCAACGCCGCGUGCGGGAUGACGGCCUUCGGGUUGUAAACCGCUUUCGCCUGUGACGAAGCGUGAGUGACGGUAAUGGGUAAAGAAGCACCGGCUAACUACGUG
rnacentral:rRNA from 1 species